GAUGACGCCGCGGCCCAGAUUUCCGAGGGCGACCCGAAAGAUCCCGUCUAUUGGUCUGGCAUCUCCCGCGCUUCUUGGAAUUUAAUUACUGAGUUGCAGAGCCGGGCCCCUCCCUGUUGAAACCUGUCUGCCAAUCAGUUCAGGUCAGGCAAACUGACCAUUUUAGGAAGCAGCGUUGGGGACUGGGAUUUUAGCUUAAGCAUGUCACCAUGGUUUGUUGUCUGCAAAACCGGUAAGAGCGCACAACGGAUGUUGCUUUGAAUCCAGACUGCUCACCUCUCUAGAGGUGUUGGCUCACGCCCUUAAUCCCAGCACUCAGGGUGGGAAGUUGAGGCAAGCGGAUC